CGUGGGUAACCUGCCCAAGAGAUCGGGAUAACACCUGGAAACAGAUGCUAAUACCGGAUAACAACAGAUGAUGCCUAUCAACUGUUUAAAAGAUGGUUCUGCUAUCACUUUUGGAUGGACCUGCGGUGCAUUAGCUAGUUGGUAGGGUAACGGCCUACCAAGGCGAUGAUGCAUAGCCGAGUUGAGAGACUGAUCGGCCACAUUGGGACUGAGACACGGCCCAAACUCCUACGGGAGGCAGCAGCA
rnacentral:rRNA from 1 species